AGGGGUUAAAAAAAAUAAUUAGUUAAAAUUAGUUAAUUGAUUUUUAUUUAUAAAGUUUAAAAUUUUAUUGAAAAAAGGUGGAAUUAAAUUCUUAUAAAUUUGAAAAUAAAUAUUUAAAUUAAUUGAAACUAUUAAAUUUAAGUUAUACACCAGGAUUAGAUACCCUGUUAUACUUUAAUAAAAUAUACUUUUACUUGGGUACUAAAUUGAUAUGAACUUGAAACUCAAAGAAUUUGGCGGUGUUUUAGUCUAGUUAGAGGAACUUGUUAUAUAAUCGAUAGUCCCCGUAGAAUUUUACUUUUAUUUGUUUUUAGUAUGUAUACCGUCAUUAUUAGGUAAUUUUAAAAAGAUUUAAAUUAUUAAAAUGAAUAAAUAUUCAGUAUAUUAGAUCAAGGUGCAGCUUAUAUAAAAGUAAUAAUGAGUUACAAUAAUUUUAAUUAUAUGAAUAUGGGAUUGAAAAAUUUUUAUAGAAGGAGGAUUUAAUAGUAUUAGUGAAUUUAAUAAGUCAUUAAGAUAAAAGCUCUAAAAUAUGUACACAUUGCCCGUCGCUCUCAUUUUUAAUGUGAGAUAAGUCGUAACAUAGUAGGUGUACUGGAAAGUGUAUCUAGAUUU
rnacentral:rRNA from 1 species